rnacentral:rRNA from 1 species
GUUACCUACGGGACGCAGCAGUAGGGAAUCUUCCACAAUGGACGAAAGUCUGAUGGAGCAACGCCGCGUGAGUGAAGAAGGGUUUCGGCUCGUAAAGCUCUGUUGGUAGGGAAGAAAGAUAAAGGUAGUAAAUGGCCUUUAUUUGACGGUAAUUACUUAGAAAGUCACGGCUAAAUACGUGCCAGCAGCCGCGGUAAUACGUAGUUGGCAAGCGUUGUCCGGGUUUAUUGGGCGUAAAGCGAGUGCAGGCGG